GCGGCGGUAAUACGAAGGGGGCUAGCGUUGUUCGGAAUUACUGGGCGUAAAGCGCGCGUAGGUGGUUCGUUAAGUUGGAUGUGAAAGCCCCGGGCUCAACCUGGGAACUGCAUCCAAAACUGGCGAGCUAGAGUAUGGUAGAGGGUGGUGGAAUUUCCUGUGUAGCGGUGAAAUGCGUAGAUAUAGGAAGGAACACCAGUGGCGAAGGCGACCACCUGGACUGAUACUGACACUGAGGUGCGAAAGCGUGGGGAGCAAACAG
rnacentral:rRNA from 1 species